rnacentral:lncRNA from 1 species
ACAAUGGGGUGGUCUGUACAAUGGCUGAUGUGUACAAUGAAGUGACGUGUACAAUGUGGUGAGCUGGACAGUGGGGUGAGCUAUACAAUGGGUUGAUCUGUAGAAUGGAGUGAGCUGGACAAUGGGGCUACUCACCCCACCCACCUUGCAAAGUGAUGCAGGACAGGAAAUGGGUUAAUAGAAGCUCGGAUUUAGAAGAGUGCCUGGCACGCCUAAGGGUGAGGCUCAAGCCGUCUGUGUAAUUAUCUUAAACUUUUUCAUUUCGGAAAUGAAACAGCUCCUCCCUUCACCGCCACCUUGGCUAUUUCUGGGACCAAAGGAAUCCUUGAAGCUGACCGGGCAGGAGAGUCCACGCUGGGAGUAAAAUCACUACAAACUGUCCAUCAGAAGGCCCCUGCUGAGUAGUUGGCAGGGUGGCUGCACAUAAUGGAAAGCACAUAAGCUUGAAGCCAGACAGAUGGGAGUUCUAACCCCAGCCCUGCCACUUAUUCCCAGGUGACACUGAGUGGAAAUUAGGCCAAAAUAAAUACUACUUUCUGCUUAAAAAAAUGCAGUGAUGUCCAAAGAGAAGGGAGGAGGAAGGAUGAAAGGAAAGACAGAGGAGGAAGGAAGAGAAGAAAGAAGAGUGGCCGGCACAAGGGCUUGGAGAUCCCUGAAGCUGUUUUCCUUUCUCCUCACCCCCACAGGGAGGGAUCCACAUCGUUGUGGGGUUUUUGUUGUUGUUGUUUUUGUUUUUGUUUUUUUGCCUCCCUUCAUCAAAGCAUUCAUUGUAGUGUAUGGUAAUUGUCUCUGAAUGUAACAGCCUCUCUUCCCUGAGGCCUGGGUCUGCUUGUUUCAUACCAUCUUCUCCUUAACACACAGUGCUUGGUAAACAAUACCUAUUAAUAAACAUUUGUUGAAUGAAUGAAUGAGUGAAUGAACGAAUACUGCACUCUUUCGACUUGGUUAGAGACAUGUCUUGUAGGCUGGCAUGUACUUCACACAGCACUCUUAGGUAGAGUUUGUAUAUGUUAUUCCAUUGAAGGGAAAAGGAAGCCAGAC